GUUCCAGUAGCGCAAUGGAUAGCACGUUGAACUUCUAAUCCAAAAGUCGUGGGUUCGAAAAUCCCAACUGGGAUG